GCAAAAGUAAGAGGAAAAAAAAAUUGACGGACGACGUUAUGUUGCACUAUUUAUUAAAAAAAUUGACCCAUUAAACUAUGAGUCCCUAAGAUAGUUCUAUAUAUAAGAUAUAAUAGGGUUACAACUUUUAAUCCAACUAUAACAUUUUGGAUGGUGGUUAGGCCUAACAGAUUAAGAUAGUUAAACGUGAUAGAAUUAGAGUAGUCCUACAAUAGGUGACCCCCUGAGAAGUGGGAUGUCACAAUUGAUGUCAGAGUCACUUACCAGCCGGAAGUGUGAGAUAAGUUUCAGAUAAGUCAGGUUAUACAACGAGGAGAGCGAGACUUUUAUGCUAAUGACUAUUGUGGAUAGAGCGAGACGAGUCUUACAUCGCCCGAUACUUAUAUAUGAAUCUGAACUUGACGAAGACGUUAGGAUUUGAAGAGAGAAAGAAUAUGAGACUUCAAGGAAGUUCUAUAUAUAAGAUUUUAUAGGGUUAAAACUCUUAAUCUGUCUAUAGUAUUUUGGGAGACAGCUAGAUCUAAGAAAUUAAAAGAGUUAAGCAUGUAGUCCUAGAAUGGGUGACCCUCUGGGAAGUGGGCCGUCAUAAUUAAUAGUGCAACAUUUGUUUGAAUAGUAUAAUUUUUUUUAAAUAGUGCAAUAUUGCAUCAUCCGCUAGAUCUCUUUCUCUCACUAUCAUUGCCAUUUUGCCACUGUAGCCACGCUGCGAACCCAUUCUUGAAUC
rnacentral:lncRNA from 1 species